UACGUAGGGUGCAAGCGUUGUCAGGAAUUAUUGGGCGUAAAGAGCUCGUAGGCGGUUUGUCGCGUCGAAUGUGAAAGCCCCCGGCUCAACUGGGGAGGGUCAUUCGAUACUGUUCGACUCGAAGGCAGGAGAGGGAAGUGGAAUUCCGGGUGUAGUGGUGAAAUGCGUAGAUAUCCGGAGGAACACCAGUGGCGAAGGCGACUUUCUGGCCUGUUCUUGACGCUGAGGCGCGAAAGCUAGGGGAGCAAACGGG
rnacentral:rRNA from 1 species